AUGCCCAAGCCAAUCCAAGUCCUUCCUGCUGAGGACUCGGCCAAGAAGACGCCCUCCGUGCACGGCCGUCCCUCGGAUCCAGCAACCCCCUUAAGCGUCCGUCUUUCGAAUGCAGCACCUUCCCUAAAUGUCCCUCCCUCGGAUCCAGCACCGGCCCUAAGCAGCCGUCCCUCCGAUCCAGCAACCCCCCAAAGCAGCCGUCUUUCGAAUGCAGCACCCUCCCUAAGCGUCCCUCCUUCGAAUCCAGCACCCCCCCUAAGUGGCCGUCCCUCAAAUCCAGCAACCCCCCAAAGCAGCCGUCUUUCGAAUGCAACACCCUCCCUAAGCGUCCCUCCCUCAAAUCUAGCAACCCCCUUAAGCGUCCGUCUUUCGAAUGCAGCACCUUCCCUAAGCGGCCCUCCCUCGGAUCCAGCACCCCCCCUAAGCAGCCGUACCUCAGAUCCAGCAACCCCCCAAAGCAGCCAUCUUUCGAAUGCAGCACCCUCCAUAAGCGUCCCUCCCUCGGAUCCAGCACCCUCCCUAAAGGACCGCCUUUCGAAUGCAGGACCCUCCCUAAAUGCCCCUCCCUUGGAUCCAGAACCCCCCCGAAGCGGCCGUCUUUCAAACGCAGCGCCCUCCCUAAGCGUCCCUCCCUCGGAUCCAGCACCCCGCCGAAGUGGCCGUCUUUCGAAUGCAGCACCCUCCCUAAGCGUCCCUCCCUCGGAUGCAGCACCCCGCCGAAGCGGCCGUCUUUCGAAUGCCCUCCCUAAGCGUCCCUCCCUCGGAUGCAGCACCCUGCCGAAGUGGCCGUCUUUCGAAUGCAGCACCCUCCCUAAGCGUCCCUCCCUCGGAUGCAGCACCCUGCCGAAGUGGCCGUCUUUCGAAUGCAGCACCCUCCCUAAGCGUCCCUCCCUCGGAUCCAGCACCCCGCCGAAGCAGUCGUCUCUCGUAUCCAGCACCCCCGCUAAGCAGCUGUCCCACUUCUUCCGAAGUGAAGCCCUCCCUGCAACCUGCUUCCUCAAAGAGGAGCCCCUUGGAGCCGAAGUCUUCUCUUGCUCCAGGAUCACAGAUCCCCGGUCCUGA
rnacentral:lncRNA from 1 species